GGCCCCGGCCCCGGCCCCGGCCCCCGCCCCCCUCAGCGUCCCGCUCCUCGCACUGAUAGGGCCGCAGGGCUUGGCUGGAGCAUGGCGGGCCACCACGGGCUGGGCCAUGGCGGCCUGUUGGCCUCAGCCGGACAGAGGCUUCCCCACCACGUCCCAGGUCUGGCGCUAAUGGAGGGUUGUGAAGGGGCCUGGUGCUCUCCUAGGAGCGGGUGGAGGGGCUGUGCCCCUGUGGAAUUUUGUUUUUUAACAUCUCUCUUGUUGGGGAGCAGGGUCUAUAACUGCUUGAGGCUCCUCUGAAUUUAUACAUCCUGCUGGGGCAUCUUGCCCCUGGCUGCGUGGCCCUCCUUUAUAGUAUUUGUAAGAGUCGUGUGGAGAUUUACUCACCCGGGCACGCUUCCCCGACUGCGGGGUUUGGCCUCUUUCAUACAGAGGCACUGAAACCACAACCUGCAUUCUUAACUGCAGUCGUGCAGAAAUUGAAAAGCCUCCGUUUCCUUCUAGGGUUCCCCUGUGCCCACGGGGGUCUGCCAGCCUUGUCUCCCGUUCAAAGGCAGAUAAGCUAACGGGAAGGAUACUGCCUCUUAUUGUGCAGGGGAGACGAAGCAGAGAGAUCUGCUGUGUCUAUGAAGUGCAUGUUAAAUCGGCGCAGAAGGGGCUGCUUUCCCUGUAGACUGUCAGCUUCUGACUGGACAGACUGUAGUUAUUCAUGUGACAAGUGUGGCUUCAUCACUGUCUUCCAGCUAUCGCCAUUCCUGAAAUAAUUUCUUUCAGAAAAGCCUAUUUGCAUAGUUAUUACAAGGCUCCUUCCUGGCUGCGGAGGACCCCGUUCGGUGCCUCUGGGGUGGAGAACAAGGUUUAGUGAGCCAAACCCAGGCUGACGGUGGAAAGCACCUGGGUUUCGGUGCUUGUGCUGCCUGACUUGCUGUAGGCAAAGACCCUGCGCCUGUCUGUGCAGCAGAGAUAAUGAUGACGCUUCCCCAUUUGAUGGAUGGGUGAAUGAAGGCAGGGAGGGAGUAAAUUACCUGUGUAAGAGCACACAAAUGAAGUCACCUCCUCUCCCAACACCCUUCAGCUCUCCUGUUACCUUCCCUGCGCUUUUCUUCAUUAAUUCUGUACCUGCCAUACACCCUCACUUUGUGCUUAUCCCAAGAUGCCUGCUGCACCCAAUUCCUUCCCUAGAGCUUAUGUUCCCCAGACAUUUGUCAGCUCUCCCUCACCUCAGCUGCGCUCCGGCAUUCCUGCCACAAUACCCAUGGCUUUGGCCCAGCUGGAAGUUUUGGACCACGCUUAGGAUUAGCCUCAGGGUGUUAAAUUCCCGCCUGGGAUCGAGAACCCUGUUAUUAGCAAGCUAAUUUAGCACGGGGGUCAAACAGUUCUGCUCCAGGAGAGGCAGGGAUGCUCCAAGGGUGUCUGUGGAGCACGUUGCCCCUGAGCAGCUCGAGUUGCUGGGCGCCGGUCCCUGGCAGGUUAUGGACAGGCAUGAAGAUGCUUAGAAUUUCUCUGACACUUCUGAUGUGGAGCUCCCGGAGUGCACCAACACACGAAAGGAUCCUCUCCCCAUUUCACUAGUGGGAAAAGAAGGCCGGAGAACGAAAGGAGAGAUGUUGUACAAGAUUAUAUUGAAAUUAACUAUUCCUGCCUGGGACUGGCCAGGUAUGAGGCAUCUUUAAAUGGCCGUCGCUACCCAUCUGUAACAGAGACUGUCUUGGUUUGAUGAUUUCACUAGAAAAAUCACACUCCUGACUGAAAUAGAGAAACCUGAACAGGACUUGUGUGUGGGACGGAUCUCCCAGACAGCGCUCUGACAGCUCAGCCCUACGUCCUUUGCAGCGCAAGAGCACAGACUGUAACUAAUUGUGGGAAGGUUUCAUCUCAAAAGCUAAUGUGAGACAGGCCUGAAUUACCAGCAGUGCAGACACAAACAGAGAGACAGAGAGCAAAGCCAUCUGGAGUCCCUGGGAAAGGCAUCAGCUCACAACAUGCUGAUGGGGCAGAAAUGACUCUUCAUUCCCUUAUAUGAGGAAUUAUGAUACAAACAGGGCUGGGAGAGGCAAGGGUAAAUCCCAGGACUCAUGCUGACUUCAGAGCCAUCUUCCCUGUGCCCGAGCUGCACCAGCCUCUUGCCAGUUUUUAUAUGUUUGAGGGAAUUCAGUGCUUUUAUGGAGCUCAGAGAUACAGACGUCUAACUGUGCUGACCCCGCCGUGGUCCAGACAUACCAUCUACUUGAAAAAAGUUCUCCAUGGCUGAGGUGUUUCUCCAUGGUGAGUUUCUGUAGCCCUUGCCAGGAGCAGAGGCUCCUGCUCAGCACCUUCCUGAGUAGGGAGCAGUUUGAACCCGGUAGUUUGUUUUGAUUCAAAUUGGAAAAAAACAACCCAGCCGGGACCUUCGGGUGGGAAGGAGAGGGCACGGAAACGGGCUGCCAGAGAGGGGAGGAAAGAGGCUGAUUGGAAAGUCACCGGAUUGGGAGCGAAAUCAGCUCAGCCCCUCCCUGGGGCUGCAGGGAAACCGUCACCAGUCUGACCGUUUAACUGCGGGAUAUUUGAAAAGAUAAACAAACAAAAAAAAACCAACCAAAAAAAAAGAGGGAGGGGAGAAUUCAAAUGCUUCAGUGAACCACUCUGCAAAUCGCAGCUCUGAUAGGCAAAUUUGCUCUUGCUUACGCUGGCAGAAAGCUGGCAGACUGCUGACUUCCAACCCUGCUGCUUAAAUCAGAGCAGGAUUUGGCACAGGCGACUUUUAAAGCCGCCUGAAAAUGCCGUGUCUCCCAGGAAGGCUUCCAGCAGCAGUGCGGGGCCUGCUUUGUCCAGGCACCGCUUUGAGCCAAGCCGUGCUGCCCGGUGCCUGGACGGAGCAGCCGGGGAGGCUGGGCUGGGCUGAACCUGCCUUUGGGAGCCACAGGGCCCCUUUCCAGAGAAAUACCCCAGCCACCCACACCCCAAAAACCCCCACAAAAGCAGAGUGACAGCUCUGUCACUGGCUUCAAGGAGGAAGAGCCUCUAGUGAUGUAAUGAAAACUCCCCGUGGUAAUUCAGAGAGUGAAAGCAGAGGCUGGCUGCCGGGAAGGGAUUGCGAAACUCUGCUCUCAGAAUGGGAGUAUUUGCAUGGGGGGACUGGGGUGUGCUGUGGCCGGGAACAUUGCUGCGGUGGGGUGCUGGCAGGCAGGCGUGCCGGCUUGGUUUGCAGCCUAUAAAAUAGAAACUCCAGCUCCUACCACGUCCCCUUUGGCUGCCCCCCCUCUCCUGGUUACCCAGAUUGCACAGGUAUGGUAAAUAACUAACUGCCUGUUGCUCUCGUCCCUGGCCCACAGGACAUGGAGAUGUUGAAAUGGCUAUUUCAGGACACACAAAGACUGAAUCUGCCUGAAACCUCUAGGUCAUUCUGGCACUGAGGUGUGAACCCCUCCCUGGAACAGACUGUUUUAUCUAGAAGUACAUGGGUCUCCUCGGGGUUUCUUCCUCUCUACCCAGACAGGGUUGGGUGGUUAUUCGUGGGUCACAGGCCACGUUGCAGAGCAGAUGGAGUUUAGAGAAAAUCCAGCUCACGUUGCUGCUUUCUGAAAUAGCCACAGACACGACAAAAAGGGGGAAGGAGGGGGAACAGCUUUACACCAGGAAUUCUUCCUUCUUCCUGGACAGGGGCACUCUGGAAUGACUCAGCUCCGGUCUUGCUGGGCAGGUUGAGACCUUUGGCCCUGCUCGGAUGGGACGGCCAGGGCUGUUAAAGGGAUCCAGCUGCAUCAGGAUUCCCCAGUGCCAAAAUGCAGAUGACAGUUUCAAGGGUCUGUCUCCUGAGGAUGCACCACAGGGCACAGCCAGGUGUGUGCUGUGACACCUUGCAGGCAAAGCUGGGAGUUUGCUGUAGUCACAGCAUCUAGAUGAAGGUGAAAGGGACAGACAGACACAAGUAGCACAAAGUAGUUUUAAACCUCUCAGAGGUGAAGUGGGGGGUCUCGUCCCAGCUCCCUGCCCUGAAGAGUCAUGCCCGGAGCAUGCGGGCUUCCCUUAUUCGUUCUCUCGGGGCCCCAGCUCCCCUGUGUGCAGGGCAGGGAUGGCAGUCUGGCUUUGUUAGAGGGGUUCAGCGAAGCUUAACCCUGAGAGCUUUGAGAUCUGUGGCGAGGGAUGCUUUGCAUUCACGAGGUAGCAGCUGUGUGUUCAAAAACUGAAGCUCAUUGGGGUCAUUUUCUGCCGGGGCCCUGGGGAAACACGGGUUUGUAAUGACAUGCACUCUGAUCAUUUCUCAGAUGGAGAUGUCAUUAGUGGCCGUUUAUGUCUCUCCAGGGAAGACACCAAUGGCUGGAGAGGGCUCUCCCCAGUGUGCAAAUCUGCACACACUUUCUGGGUUGAUCUAGCUAGUUCAUGUUCUGUUUGCCUCUUGUGGUCCCCUGAGAUGUGUUCAGGGAAGGAAGAGAUGAUUCUGCUUGACUCCCUUUUUCUCUGCUGGACUUAACAAGGAUUGACAUUUUUUUAAAUGAAGAGAAAAAGGCAGAAGAUGGGAGCCCUGGGAUCAGAAACUCAAGCCUCUUCCAAGAGGAUUGUUCUGGUUUACUCUGCAGUUACACCUCCUCUCCCCUCCAUCUCCCCAUCCCACUCUGCUCCCUCCUAACACCCACACGCCCAGCAAUCUUCCACUCCCUGCUGUGACUUUCUGCGGAAGAUGCUGUCGUGUGAAAUCCUGGGAGAGAGUUACCACAUGGAGCUCUCUGAAAGCAUCGCGUGUCCCUUGCAGAACAGGCCUGCAGACGGAGGAACACUACGCUCCCCCUCCUCGAAAUCCUGAAUGCACUUCAUGGAUGGAGGUGGGGGGAGCGGGGAAUCAUCUUGUAAGCUUGAGAGCCACCUACACACAUGGCAAGUCUUGUCAGCAGCUGAUAAAAAGAGGCGGGAGGUGGGGAGAUUUUGAGGGGGAAGAACUUGGAGGCUCGUGUGCCCACAUAACUCACCAUCCUGUCUUCCCCAGGGCUCAUCCAGCCAGGAGGGCCAUGGGCUUGGCCCGUCGCUGAUACACGUGCACUGAAAGGGGACCCUGAACAGGGACUCAGAGAUAACUACCAUCUACUUCAGCAAUGACGUAAAGGUCUGCAGAUCCCCAGGAUCCACAUCCAGAGAGCUCCCGGCAAUAAUUGCACACCUGGCUACUUCCCCCAGAACUACUGCUUCCUGCACAGGCAGGAUGAGGAGAGGCCGAAAACCAGCAGCUCUCACCCACCCUCCUUCUGCCCCACAAGUCCCAUCAGAACAGGAGGAAGGCAGGCUGUGCUCUCAGGUAACCUGCCAUCCCACAGAGAACAAAACACACAC